rfam:Brassica oleracea var. oleracea cultivar TO1000 chromosome C3, whole genome shotgun sequence
GGAAUAUAAGAACCUGUCUCUUAAAUUUUAACUAAAAAGGCUAAGAACCGGUUCUUAAAUAAGAGUUUUAAGAGCCGGUUCUUAACUUUUUUAGUUAAAAGUUAAGAGACGAGUUUUUAUAUUCC